rnacentral:rRNA from 1 species
UACAGAGGGGGCAAGCGUUGUUCGGAAUUACUGGGCGUAAAGGGCGCGUAGGCGGCCUGCUAAGUCGAACGUGAAAUCCCCGAGCUCAACUCGGGAACUGCGUCCGAUACUGGCAGGCUUGAAUCCGGGAGAGGGAUGCGGAAUUCCAGGUGUAGCGGUGAAAUUCGUAGAUAUUGGGUGGAACACCGGUGGCGAAAGCGGCUCUCUGGCCCGGAUCUGACGCUGAGGCGCGAAAGCGUGGGGAGCAAACAGG